rnacentral:rRNA from 1 species
UACGUAGGGUGCGAGCGUUAAUCGGAAUUACUGGGCGUAAAGCGUGCGCAGGCGGUUCUCCAAGUCCGUUGUGAAAGCCCCGGGCUCAACCUGGGAAUGGCAGUGGAAACUAGGGGACUGGAAUCUGGCAGAGGGGGGGUGGAAUGCCGCGUGUAGCAGUGAAAUGCGUAGAGAUGCGGCGGAACACCGAUGGCGAAGGCAGCCCCCUGGGCUGAGAUUGACGCUCAGGCACGAAAGCGUGGGGAGCAAACAGG